ensembl:lncRNA
UUGCAUUUCAGGUGGCCCAGAGGAUUAUAGAGUACGCUAGAAGAUUUCCUUUCAACUGUACAAACACUUCAGGAUUGCUCCCUGUGUGUGAAGGGAAAAUAGAAGUUGUAUGAUAAAGAUUUUUUGGCCACAACUUCUGAAGACUUAUAACCUUAGCGCUCUGCUAAGAAACAGAACCUUGUAAGAUUCAAGAAAAUUAUCUUAUCUGGCUUUUAUCCUGUUUGGAAGCAUCUAAAGAAAAACUGGAGACUGCAGGGAUACACAGACAACUGAAAGUUCUGGAAAGACUAGCCAGAUUUCGCCGUAAAUUGCAAAGAAUGAAGACAGGAACCAAGAAAGAACCUAAGGCUUUUCUGGUAAGACAUGUUCUCAAAACUUUGCUGAGCACAAGUUUCGCCUUUUAUUCUUCAC